GCGAACUAACGCGCCCUCUUCCAUACAAAUCGAGAAACCUGGCCGCGGAAGGUUUCUCUUCUAAAUAUAUUUUCGGAAAAUUCGCAUUUUAUAUAAGAGUACCGCUGUAAUAAGCGGGUAGUUGUACGUCGAUAAUUGUAUGUGUUCAACGGAUAUCAUUUACUGCGAUUAAGGCUCUAUAUGGCCUGUUAAACUGACUACUAAAAAUAGAACAGUGCCCGAUACAUUAGUAGGAAAAUCUAGUGCGAGGUUUCCAUUCAUAAAAUCUAUCAUUUGGUGGUCGAUGGUGUCGACACGAUAUCGGCGCAUAAUUAAAAUUUAUCGGUGAAUUCACAUCGUUGGCUGGAACAGAGUGACCAAUCAAUAACAGCGUCACCGUUAAAGGAGUUUUCGUCGAAAAACUAUCGGAAACAGGCAAAAUGGCGACCGAGGGCGGACUGGCGCCUGCCGGCGACGGCGACAUGCCCGUGGGCGGGCCCAAGACGCCGCAGCAGAUCGCCGCGCAACGUCGCCUCCAGCAGACACAGGCCCAAGUUGACGAGGUGGUGGACAUCAUGAAAACAAACGUCGAAAAGGUGCUGGAGCGCGAUUCCAAGCUCUCGGAGCUUGAUGAUAGAGCAGACGCACUCCAGCAUGGCGCAUCACAGUUUGAGCAACAGGCCGGAAAGCUGAAAAGCAAAUUCUGGUUGCAGAAUUUAAAGAUGAUGAUAAUCGCGGCUGUGAUCGGUAUCGUCAUCCUGGCUCUGAUCAUUGCCAACUGUGUGUGAACAACUUUGGAGCAGUUUCAUUUAGAAGUAACUUGUUAUAAUGUUUAUAGUAUAACGUUAUUUUAUUGCGUUAAAACUAAGCCUAGUUUGGUCUGUAAACAUCGGGUAAGGAGGAUAGAUGGCUGAGAAGCUCUCUACUGAAUUCCAUCACGUACAGCCUAAUGUCACCAUUUUUUACCUGUCCUCGAGUUCAAUUGGGAGCGCCUUCGAUGAACCCAAUAUCAAUAUUUCCUACAUAAAACUAUUUAUUCUACUAGGCCCACCGUACACUCAGGUGCGGCGUUAACUUAGGUCCAGUCUCUAGUCGUGAUUCACGUUCCCUUAGUGUGCAGCGGGCCCAAAGCAAAAAGUUUAGAUAACUGUAUUUUCUUCACAUCACUAUCAACUGUCGUGACUUUAGGAAAAGUAUUUUUAGAUGAGUUUUCGUUAUUAAAAAUGUUUAUCUUAGAAUAACAAGUGUAAUUUGCUAAACGCUAUACACAACCUAAAGCUUAUUGAAAACGACCAUAUCUCCAAUUUCCAUCUUUGAAUAUCUGAUUAAUGAGAUCGACCUAAGAGAAAUUUAAAAAUUUUAGACCUUAUUUUUUAUUUAUUCGGACCAAGUUUCUUAAUAAUCAUUAUUACCGAUUGUGUUUAUUUUUAUACGCCAAUGUUUAUGAAUUCAUAUUUUCAAUUUCGAAUAAUUUAACUGUUGCUCUUUGAUAAAAUGUCUACAUGUUAUGAAUAUGUUUCUAUCUUGUAAGUAUGUAAUUUCGUAAACUUUUUAAAUGUUGAAUAUAUGGAUAUUGAUCUCACAUAGAAUAGCCGCAGCUGACAUUGUCGUUCUGGUCCACUUUCCUUUAAAAUUCAGUAACUUGUCAGAAAAAUAGUACUUAAACAAAUACUUAUAUUACAUUUUAGAAUGAUUUUACUGCUUCUAUGUACGCAAAUAUAUUACUUUUGAAUUGGGUAACUUGAUGGAUGUGAAUAACGAUCGACUUAGAAUGGUUUGCUUACUCGCUUAGUUUUAGUCAGUCUACAGGCAUUUUGUAGCUGUUUAAACUAAGUACCUAACUUAAUAGUACCUAACUUGGCGGUGAUUUCUAUUUGAAACGAAAAUUUAUAAUAUUCAUGUUGUUGUUUGUAAUAAAUAGAAUUAGACUAAAAAAAUAAUGUUCAUUCCUACGAUCUCAUGUAAUCGUGACUGGCCAAUAUUUUUUAAAUAAUUAUACAUAACCACAUGUUGUAACACAUAUGUAUCUUAUAUCUUUUUCUGUGUGUAUUGUAUGUAAAAACAGCUUUGUAGUUAGAAAGUGUAAAAAGUUUCACUAUAAUUAGGUGUUUUUAUUGUAACCACACAUAGGCUAAAAGCGAGCUAAAGUUAAUAAAGAUAAAUGUUUAUCCAUUGGGGUAAUUGGCCAGUGUUGGAUUAAAACCAGUCAUUAGUAAAUUAAGUCGAGUUCAAGAAAAUAGAAAUUUAUAAUAAGCCAUGUAUGGGUAACAAUGAAUUAGUUUUUAGAUUUAGACACUAUUGUGGCCGGGAAUAGAGGCCUCAGCAUUGUGUCAAUCCUAGGACCGAUAUCGUUCUCCUGGGCCAGGGUUGGCCCGAUAUCGCGCCAGUAUCUCUCUUACUUAUAUUUAAAUACGCUGGGUUUGUGCUGGUCUCAUUCUUCUGAGCCAUAAGAAUUGAGACGGGCAUAAACGGGCCAUAGAAAAAACUACAAGAAUAGAUAUGCAUAUGCACGUCGUGUUGAGUCGUUUUUUAGGUAUAGUAUUCAUAGCCUACUGAAAUUGUUACAAAUACUUACUGACCUCCAUUUUCGAGAUAUUUUUAUACACAUACAUCCAGUACCAGUUAUAUCAGUCAAAAUAAUAUACCCUGAUUAACGAGUUAUAAAAAAUAAUAAAUCUGAACUUAAUAAUUGAUAGAUGGGUGUUCUUAAUAAUAAUUCGAAAAUGGAAGUUAUAAAAAUCACUGUAAGGUAAGGUAAAAAAUACACCAGAUAUAUAUGUUAUAAAUAAAUUUACUUUAAAAUAAGAAUAUUCCAUUAGUGAAAAGGUUUCGAACCGAAAAUUGUUGACAUGUAUUUGUACCUACUAACAUGGUGCAAUAAAUCAGAAAUUAAAGAUACCUAUUCACUGGUGUUGCGUAUUCCGACAUUAUUUGUGGCCAUAUCAUAUUAAGAUCCCAACGCGCUAAAUCUUGAACUUACUUAGGCUCAUUAUUAUUAUUAGGAUAACAAGAAAUUUAUAAAAUGAGCAAUUACACACAACACCUAUUUCUUUUUGCUUCGAAUAUGGCCACAGGUAAUUUAAUUGUGAGAAGACUCAAAACGCAUCGUGUAAAAUUAUGUAAAACCACUAAUCAUGAGAAUAGGUAAAAAUACUUAGAACAUUUUUCUUUUCAUUUUGUUAUUUUGUCAUUCCCCAUAAUAAAAUUCGCAGCAUUAACUCGGUCGCAGUCCGUCUCCCUCGCACUGAUGGGUUAGUGCGAUAGAGGGAAUACGAUCGAGAUCACGCAGUCUCUAACGUAAAUGACAAUGCCAACUCGUGGUAGUCAUGCAGGUGUAUGGGUAUGACAUUGUACCUACUGUAAUAACAUGUAACGAAACUUUAACUAAUUAAUUUAAAUGUUUCGAAUCGUGAAGGUGAAUAGGUUUGAGCAAACACAGUUUCAUUCAUGAUAAGUGGAUUUAUAUUAAAUUUCAAUAUGUGAUGAGACUAGUUUAGACACUAAGUUAUUUAAAAUAUUGAUGAAAGGGUAAAAAAACGUUACCUUUUAGAUAAGUAGAUACCUACUUACUUUGUCUGUAUCUCAUAUUUUUUAAUAUUCCAUCAUUUUGAUGAUGAUUUCAAUGGGAAUGUCGUAAGAAUAUUACCCAAAAUUAUAUAUAUUCAGUACUUAUGUUUAAUUAUAAAUCGGUUUUAAAAUAAACAUAUAAUACCAAGAUUCCGUGUAAGCUAACUCUGCACCGACCUUACAGCGACAAAAUGGGGACGCGCCACUUUUACCCUCAUAUUUUCAUAGGAAUUAGACAUUUAUGGGGUGGUGGCACCUCCACACUCUGUCGGUUGCAAAAUUGAUGCAAAAUUUGCUUUGACAGACAAUAGGUACCUAAUUUGCAAUUUAUCUUGAAUCGUUAUAAGUAGAUGCUUAUGUUAACAAAAUAUUGAAGUGUAAUUUUAACGAAAUUUUUUUAAGGAAUAAUUACAUAAUUUAUCUUUCUUUUAUGAGAAUGCGUAAUUAAAACAUAUUUCUUAUUAAAAUGUAUUUAUAUGUAAACACGUUAUAACAUAUAUAACUGUUAAAUGUUAAAAAAUCAAACAUAAUCUUAACAGUUUAAUGAAUUUUCAAACAAAUAUUUGGUAAAUAUUUACAUUAUUGUAAUUCACCGUGUAUACAUAGCAUAAUAAGUUAUGUACCUAUAUGUAUUAUUAUUGCUUAAAUAAAUAAACCAACAUUAAUUAUUUUAGAACAUUAUUA